AAUACAAGAAGAUAUUAUUAUAGCAGAGAGAAAGUGCAUAGUAUAGUGCUAAACCAGUAUAUAGUACGAAAACCACAAUGCAAAAACCCAUUUAAAAAAAAAAAAAAAGUAUACUGGUUUAGCACUAUACUAUGCACUUUCUCUCUGCUAUAAUGAUAUCUUGUUGUAUUU